ACAGUCUCGUCCCGACGUCCGCGCCGCACGCUUGCCAGAGGAGGUAAUCCGUUCCGCGUAAAUUAUAAUACGAUCGGCUGUGUGUUUUUACGCGUUCCCGUCGCGCCGCCGCACGCAGGACAUUUUCGUCGCCCGUUAUUAUUGUUUUGCAAUAUUAUAGUAUUGAGGCUAUCGUCCGGCGUGCGCGGUUUCCGUUUUCUCGUCGCGGUCUUCGAACAAUUAUUAUUGGACAACAAGUGCAUUUUACCGCUUGAUAAAUAAUCAUCGCCGUGCGUCGUCAGGAUGUACGCUCGCCGGUAACGCGCGCACGACCGUCCGCAGGUGAGUCCGAUUCAAUGUUCUGUUAUAAUUGUAAGCGAUUAUCGUGCGCGGUAAUAUCUCGUUUUGAAAUCCAUUCGGCGAAAUGGGAUUUCGACCGGACCGAGUUUAAGCCCGCGUCCCGGUAAACGUCCGGCCGUAACCGCAAUAUUGAUGACAAUUAUUUACUAUACCCGCGACUUUAUCGGCGUCUUCUUCCUCUUCGCGUUAUUUCCGUACAAAUAUGAGCGAGUGCACCCGUCAGCUAUACCGUGCCUUACUCUGCCUAUACGCUGUCCUAACCUGGCCUAACUCGACUUACCGCGUAUCCGCGUACAGUGUAUCGCGCAAAUACAAAAGCGAUCGAGUGGAUCCGUCGAACGUAACGUGUAUAGAACAGGCGACUCAAAUCAAUUGAGUAGGAGUCUCAAAACACUCGCGACAGCCUGGACUCUGUGCCGGUCCGUAUAAUUUUUCCGCGUUCCUACGCGCCGAUUGUUUACGGAAACAAUCGCACCCUCAGUUCCUUAUAAGACUCGAACCGCCAACGUGUGUCGGUAUAAAGUCUGCUUUCUCCUAUCGCGUUAACAUAUUAUUUUCUUUGUUUGUUUGUU